GAGGUGAAUGGCAAUGCAGCUCUUGUAUUGCACGUGCUGCUCCUCUGAUAAUUUUUAGGGUUUUAUUCCAGUCUAGUUCUGCAGCAGAUCAAUCCACUUAAUCAGAUAACUGCAACUUACCAAGUUCUACUUAAAUAAGUUACUCUAUUUUAUAAGAGAAAUAGAAUGCACUGCUUCUCAGGAAGUUGGUUUGAUAAUGUAAACCAAACAAGAUCCUUU
rnacentral:misc_RNA from 1 species